rnacentral:rRNA from 1 species
GACGAACGCUGGCGGCGUGCCUAAUACAUGCAAGUAGAACGCACAGUUUAUACCGUAGCUUGCUACACCAUAAACUGUGAGUUGCGAACGGGUGAGUAACGCGUAGGUAACCUGCCUGGUAGCGGGGGAUAACUAUUGGAAACGAUAGCUAAUACCGCAUAAUAUUGAUUAUUGCAUGAUAAUUGAUUGAAAGAUGCUACUGCAUCACUACCAGAUGGACCUGCGUUGUAUUAGCUAGUAGGUGAGGUAACGGCUCACCUAGGCGACGAUACAUAGCCGACCUGAGAGGGUGAUCGGCCACACUGGGACUGAGACACGGCCCAGACUCCUACGGGAGGCAGCAGUAGGGAAUCUUCGGCAAUGGACGAAAGUCUGACCGAGCAACGCCGCGUGAGUGAAGAAGGUUUUCGGAUCGUAAAGCUCUGUUGUAAGAGAAGAACGGGUGUGAGAGUGGAAAGUUCACACUGUGACGGUAUCUUACCAGAAAGGGACGGCUAACUACGUG